CCGUCUUUAUUUUUCGUCCUGUUGGUGCGUAUUUCCAUUGGCAAAUUACGUCUCAUAUACCAUAUUUUUUAUUACAUGUUUCGCACCACAAUCAUAUCUUACUUAUAGUUAUACGCAAAGAAACUUUACAAAACACUGCAAGUGGCUUAUCGUUAACUUCGUUAAUUACUUAGUUGACAGAAUACUCAUAGAUAAGAGACUAAAUAAUUUUGAAUCAUAAAACUGGACUUUUGAAUUUGCUUUUGACAGCUUUGGUCCUUAAUUAAAGGCCGUUUUCCACUCUACUCUAGUACUCUCUAUAGUGCUCGCGUAGUGGGAAGGAUCUGCAAUGGCAAAUUUAAGUAAAAUUGUGCACUUGAGUAAAAAGCAUGAUAUAUCAUUUUGGCAAAAUGAUAGUUCUCGAUGUGGUUAUUAAUCGUAGAAAAUGGUGCCAUCUGGAAUUUUAAUGUUGGUGAUUAAAAGUCCUAAAUCAUUAGAAAGCUUGCAAAAGAUAUUUAAGUGGUUUUCUAGUCCCUUUUGAGUUAUUAUUCCUUCAAAACGUGAAAUUAAAGUACAUUUAAACCUCAAUUUCAUUUAAACCUCAAUUCAGUCUCAAUUUCACGUGAGCCUCCUUGAUAAACCUACGGCUUUUGAGGCAAACCUUUUAAUAAAGAGUUUAUAUAAAAAAAACAACGUCAUAUAACUCAAAACUGGGAAGAAAAGCAAGCAAACCGCUUAAAUGUCUUAUAUAGCUUUCUGAUUAUGUAAGGUAUACUGUAUAUUUACCACAGGUGAACCUGAAAUUUGAUCAUGGUUUUUCUGGGCGGAAGGGAAAUUUUCUUUAAUGGGAAAAUUGUAAAAAAAACUUCAUUUUGAGGCGUCAACAUCAAUUUUUCAGCUGGCACUAUAUUUAAGAUUAUUAACAUUAAGCGGCCACUGAGAACUAACGUUUUGCAAAAUGCCAUGCUUUUUACCUCAAAUGCACAAUUUUUACAGAUAUCCGCCUGACUACCAGCAAUCAAAUACGCUUCGGUACAGUAUACGGUUGAAGUGGAAAAACGACCUUAAUUAAUUUGUAUAUAGCCAUUCACAACAUUUCACACCUAAAAGCAGGGCACUGUAGUGUAAAAGUAAAACACCUCGAAUAUACGAAUAAAGUAACGUAUUAAUUACUAUUAGUGUGUAUUACUUCCUCCCGAAGGAGAACAGUGUCUUAAAACUGCCAUUUUCUGUUUUGUCGUCGUCAAUGUCACAAACUGGCAUAUAUCUUUAAGAUUAUAAAGAUCUAAUGUAUAACCAAACACUAAACAAUAAUUAAUAAUGAAAAUGUC